rnacentral:rRNA from 1 species
CUGCAACUCGCCUACACGAAGUCGGAAUCGCUAGUAAUCGCGGAUCAGCAUGCCGCGGUGAAUACGUUCCCGGGCCUUGUACACACCGCCCGUCACACCAUGGGAGCCGGUAAUACCCGAAGUCAGUAGUCCAACCUCGUGAGGACGCUGCCGAAGGUAGGAUUGGCGACUGGGGUGAAGUCGUAACAAGGUAUC